CCUACGGGAGGCAGCAGUGAGGAAUAUUGGUCAAUGGGCGCAAGCCUGAACCAGCCAAGUCGCGUGAGGGAUGACGGUCCUAUGGAUUGUAAACCUCUUUUGUCGGGGAGCAAGGCACGCCACGUGUGGCGGGAAGGAGAGUUCCCGACGAAAAAGCAUCGGCUAACUCCGUGCCAGCAGCCGCGGUAAUACGGAGGAGGCGAGCGUUAUCCGGAUUUAUUGGGUUUAAAGGGUGCGUAGGCGGAAGGUUAAGUCAGCGGUCAAAUGUCGGUGCUCAACACCGGCCUGCCGUUGAAACUGGUCGUCUUGAGUGAGCGAGAAGUAUGCGGAAUGCGUGGUGUAGCGGUGAAAUGCAUAGAUAUCACGCAGAACUCCGAUUGCGAAGGCAGCAUACCGGCGCUCAACUGACGCUGAGGCACGAAAGCGUGGGGAUCGAACAGGAUUAGAUACCCGGGUAGUC
rnacentral:rRNA from 1 species